ACAAAAUGACGUGUACCUGAAGAAUAAGCAUCGGCUAACUCCGUGCCAGCAGCCGCGGUAAGACGGAGGAUGCAAGUGUUAUCCGGAAUCACUGGGCGUAAAGCGUCUGUAGGUGGUUUAAUAAGUCAACUGUUAAAUCUUGAAGCUCAACUUCAAAAUCGCAGUCGAAACUAUUAGACUAGAGUAUAGUAGGGGUAAAGGGAAUUUCCAGUGGAGCGGUGAAAUGCGUAAAGAUUGGAAAGAACACCGAUGGCGAAGGCACUUUACUGGGCUAUUACUGACACUCAGAGACGAAAGCUAGGGUAGCAAAUGGGAUUAGAUACCCCAGUAGUCCUAGCCGUAAACAAUGGAUACUAGAUGUUGAACAGAUCGACCUGUGCAGUAUUAAAGCUAACGCGUUAAGUAUCCCGCCUGGGAAGUAUGCUCGCAAGAGUGAAAC
rnacentral:rRNA from 1 species